rnacentral:rRNA from 1 species
UUCCGGUUGAUCCUGCCGGACCCGANUGCUAUCGGAUUGGGACUAAGCCAUGCGAGUCAACUCGAAAGAGUGGCGCACGGCUCAGUAACACGUAGUCAAUCUACCCUGAGGACGGGGAUAACCCCGGGAAACUGGGGAUAAACCCCGAUAGGUCAUAGCUCCUGGAAUGGGCUAUGGCUCAAAUCUAUAUGGCCUUAGGAAUGGGACUGCGUUCCGAUCAAGUUGUUGGUUGGGGUUAAUGGCCCACCAAGCCUAUAACCGGUACGGGCUCUGAGAGGAGGAGCCCGGAGAUGGGCACUGAGACAAGGGCCCAGGUCCUAUGGGGCGCAGCAGGCGCGAAACCUCCGCAAUGGGCGAAAGCCCGACGGGGUCAGUCCGAGUGGCUCCUGCUAAAGGAGUCUUUUGCCAGCUGUAAACAGGCUGGUGAAUAANGGGUGGGCAAGCCUGGUGUCAGCCGCCGCGGUAAUAACAGCAACCCGAGUGGUCGGAUGAUUAUUGGGCCUAAAGCAUCCGUAGCCCGUGUAGUAAGUCCUCCGUUAAAUCCACCUGCUCAACAGGUUGUGCUGCGGAGGAUACUGCUACACUAAGGAAGCGGGAAAAGGCGAAGGGUAUUCCACGGGUAGGGGUAAAUCCGUCUGAUCCGUGGAGGACCAACA